AUUGAACGCUGGCGGCAUGCCUUACACAUGCAAGUCGAACGGCAGCAUGGAGAGCUUGCUCUCUGAUGGCGAGUGGCGAACGGGUGAGUAAAGCAUCGGAACGUACCGUGUAGUGGGGGAUAACGUAGCGAAAGUUACGCUAAUACCGCAUACGCACUGAGGUGGAAAGCAGGGGAUCGUAAGACCUUGCGCUAUACGAGCGGCCGAUGCCAGAUUAGCUAGUUGGUAGGGUAAAGGCCUACCAAGGCGACGAUCUGUAGCGGGUCUGAGAGGAUGAUCCGCCACACUGGGACUGAGACACGGCCCAGACUCCUACGGGAGGCAGCAGUGGGGAAUUUUGGACAAUGGGGGCAACCCUGAUCCAGCCAUGCCGCGUGAGUGAAGAAGGCCUUCGGGUUGUAAAGCUCUUUCGGCCGGGAAGAAAUCGCACAGGCUAAUACCCUGUGUGGAUGACGGUACCGGCAUAAGAAGCACCGGCUAACUACGUGCCAGCAGCCGCAGUAA
rnacentral:rRNA from 1 species